GAUGAACGCUGGCGGCGUGCCUAAUACAUGCAAGUCGAGCGAACGGACGAGAAGCUUGCUUCUCUGAUGUUAGCGGCGGACGGGUGAGUAACACGUGGAUAACCUACCUAUAAGACUGGGAUAACUUCGGGAAACCGUAGCUAAUACCGGAUAAUAUUUUGAACCGCAUGGUUCAAAAGUGAAAGACGGUCUUGCUGUCACUUAUAGAUGGAUCCGCGCUGCAUUAGCUAGUUGGUAAGGUAACGGGUUACCAAGGCAACGAUGCAUAGCCGACCUGAGAGAGUGAUCGCCCACACGGGAACUGAGCCGCGGUCCAGACUCCUACGGGAGGCAGCAGUAGGCAAUCUUCCGCAAUGGGCGAAAGCCUGACGGAGCAACGCCGCGUGAGUGAUGAAGGUCUUCGGAUCGUAAAACUCUGUUAUUAGGGAAAAACAUAUGUGUAAGUAACUGUACAGAUCUUGACGGUACCUAGUCAGAAAGCAACGGCUAACUACGUG
rnacentral:rRNA from 1 species